GAUGAACGCUAGCGGCAGGCUUAACACAUGCAAGUCGAGGGGUAUAGUUCUUCGGAACUAGAGACCGGCGCACGGGUGCGUAACGCGUAUGUAAUCUACCUUUUACAGGGGGAUAGCCCAGAGAAAUUUGGAUUAAUACCCCAUAGUAUGUUGUGGUAGCAUCACUAUAACAUUAAAGUUCCAACGGUAAAAGAUGAGCAUGCGUCCCAUUAGCUAGAUGGUAAGGUAACGGCUUACCAUGGCUACGAUGGGUAGGGGUCCUGAGAGGGAGAUCCCCCACACUGGUACUGAGACACGGACCAGACUCCUACGGGAGGCAGCAGUGAGGAAUAUUGGUCAAUGGGCGCAAGCCUGACCCAGCCAUGCCGCGUGCAGGAAGAAUGCCCUAUGGGUUGUAAACUGCUUUUAUUUGGGAAUAAACCUCUUUACGUGUAGAGAGCUGAAGGUACCAAAUGAAUAAGCACCGGCUAACUCCGUGCCAGCAGCCGCGGUAA
rnacentral:rRNA from 1 species